UACGUAGGGUGCGAGCGUUGUCCGGAAUUAUUGGGCGUAAAGAGCUCGUAGGCGGUUUGUUGCGUCGGCCGUGAAAACCUGCAGCUUAACUGUGGGCCUGCGCCGAUACGGGCAGACUUGAGUUCGGUAGGGGAGACUGGAAUUCCUGGUGUAGCGGUGAAAUGCGCAGAUAUCAGGAGGAACACCGGUGGCGAAGGCGGGUUCUCUGGGCCGAUACUGACGCUGAGGAGCGAAAGCGUGGGGAGCGAACAGG
rnacentral:rRNA from 1 species